rnacentral:rRNA from 1 species
GACGAACGCUGGCGGCGUGCUUAACACAUGCAAGUCGAGCGGUAAGGCCCUUUCGGGGGUACACGAGCGGCGAACGGGUGAGUAACACGUGGGUGACCUGCCCUCAGCUCUGGGAUAAGCCUGGGAAACUGGGUCUAAUACUGGAUAUGACUCCACGGUGCAUGUCGUGGGGUGGAAAGCCUUGUGCGGCUGAGGAUGGGCCCGCGGCCUAUCAGCUUGUUGGG